ACGCGUAGCGACUCGACACGUCUGUGUGAAAUCGCCCGCUCACUGGCGAGGUCAGCGAUACGAUCGAGCUUGAGCAGCUAGGAGGCAAUGGAAUUCCCGAUGUAGUGAUGGAAUGCGUAGAUAUCGGGAGGAACACCAGUGGCGAAGGCGGUUGCCUGGGGCUUUGCUGACGCUGAUGCGCGAAAGCGUGGGGAGCGAUCCGGAUUAGAUACCCGGGUAGUGCACGCCGUAAACGAUGUCGACUAGGUGUCGGGGGUAUCGACCCCCUCGGCGCCGCAGCUAACGCAUUAAGUCGACCGCCUGGGGACUACGGCCGCAAGGCUAAAACUCAAAGGAAUUGACGAGGGCCCGCACAAGCAGCGGAGCGUGUGGUUUAAUUCGAUGCAACGCGCAGAACCUUACCUCGGCUUGACAUGCACGUGGUACUGACCCGUAAGGGAAGGGACCCGCGAGGGAGCGUGCACAGAUGCUGCAUGGCUGUCGUCAGCUCGUGCCGUGAGGUGUUGGGUUAAGUCCCGCAACGAGCGCAACCCUUGUCCUUAGUU
rnacentral:rRNA from 1 species